CCUACGGGCGGCAGCAGUGGGGGAUAUUGCACAAUGGGGGAAACCCUGAUGCAGCGACGCCGCGUGUGUGAAGAAGUAUUUCGGUAUGUAAAGCUCUAUCAGCAGGGAAGAAAAAAGACGGUACCUGACUAAGAAGCCCCGGCUAACUACGUGCCAGCAGCCGCGGUAAUACGUCGGGGGCCAGCGUUAUCCGGAUUUACUGGGUGUAAAGGGAGCGUAGCCGGCAAGACAAGUCAGAAGUGAAAUCCCCGGGCUCAACCUGGGAACUGCUUUGGACACUGGAUGGCUGGAGUGCUGGAGAGGUAAGCGGAAUUCCUAGUGUAGCGGUGAAAUGCGUAGAUAUUAGGAGGAACACCAGUGGCGAAGGCGGCUUACUGGACAGUAACUGACGUUGAGGCUCGAAAGCGUGGGGAGCAAACAGGAUUAGAUACCCCUGUAGUC
rnacentral:rRNA from 1 species